CUCUGUUGUAUCUGCUACUCAAUCAAACUUUCAUUUUAUUUGAUUUAAAUCAGCUAACGAUACUUCAAUUUAAAAUUUUAAAUGCAUCGCUUAUCUUCAUAUAUUCAGUGAGUAUAUAUUUUAUUAAAGUAAGUAAGUAAGUAGCUCAAAUUUUAACACAAAGUGCGGUUGAGUGACUUAAAUUAAAUAAAUUAAAAAAUUGAAUGGUAAAAUUUAAAUUUAAAAGGAUGAGAUGAAUAGUUCAAAUAAAGUUUUAUAUUAUAAUUUUUUUAAUUUAACUAGAUUUUUUUUUAAAAGAAAAAAAAAUUUAA
rnacentral:lncRNA from 1 species